UGGGGAAUAUUGCACAAUGGGCGAAAGCCUGAUGCAGCAACGCCGCGUGAGGGACGACGGCCUUCGGGUUGUAAACCUCUUUUAGCAAGGAAGAAGCGAAAGUGACGGUACUUGCAGAAAAAGCGCCGGCUGACUACGUGCCAGCAGCCGCGGUAAUACGUAGGGCGCAAGCGUUAUCCGGAAUUAUUGGGCGUAAAGAGCUCGUAGGCGGUUUGUCGCGUCUGCUGUGAAAACCCGAGGCUCACUCGGCGNGCAGUGGGUACGGGCAGACUAGAGUGCGGUAGGGGAGAUUGGAACUCCUGGUGUAGCGUGGAAUGCGCAGAUAUCAGGAAGAACACCGAUGGCGAAGCAGAUCUCUGGGCCGUAACUGACGCUGAGGAGCGAAAGGGUGGGGGAGCAAACAGGCUUAGAUACCCUGGUAGUCCACCCCCGUAAACGUUGGGGAACUAGUUGUGGGGGUCCAUUCCACGGAUUCCCGUGACGCAGCUAAACGCAUUAAGUUCCCCGCCUGGGGAGUACGGCCGCAAGGCUAAAACUUAAAUG
rnacentral:rRNA from 1 species